rnacentral:SRP_RNA from 1 species
GGGCGCAAAGAUGGACUUGUAAUUUCCCGCAACCUGUGGUAUACUAACUCAAAAUCUCUCAAUUGAAGAAAGAGAAGAAUCCUCCGCAAGCAUUCGCGUUGAGGAGUUCGGUCUCGCGCAAUGGAUGCCCGUGAACCAUGUCAGGCGGGGAACCGAGCAGCAUUAAGCGGAACACCAUGUGCCGCGAGGGUGCCGAUUCCGAGGGGAUGCUUGCGGAGGGUCCUUCUUUUUUUCGCGUUU